AGUUAUCACCUAAUGAGAAUAAGUGUGGGAGGCAGAUCGUGAGCCAAAAGGAAAAAAAAAGCAUGGAUGAUUGUGUAAUCUAAAAUGAUUUGUAUAUAACUAUGUCUCAGUCCCAGGUCUGGACAACAGUCACAAAGAUACCCACACGACACUCCGAAAGAAUUCAAAAGGGAAGAAACUGGCAGCAUCUUUUAAUACAUACCUCCCAAACCGGCAGAGCUUCUAUAAAAAGGAGGGAGGACCACCUUGACGUCACUGCUGCUAGGUCCUCAUUCUGCCUUUAUAUUGAAGUCACAGACAACAACCCAGC